rnacentral:rRNA from 1 species
UACGUAGGUGGCAAGCGUUGUCCGGAAUUAUUGGGCGUAAAGCGCGCGCAGGUGGUUCCUUAAGUCUGAUGUGAAAGCCCACGGCUCAACCGUGGAGGGUCAUUGGAAACUGGGGAACUUGAGUGCAGAAGAGGAAAGUGGAAUUCCACGUGUAGCGGUGAAAUGCGUAGAGAUGUGGAGGAACACCAGUGGCGAAGGCGACUUUCUGGUCUGUAACUGACGCUGAGACACGAAAGCGUGGGUAGCAAACAGG